GUCUGCAGCCAUACCACCCUGAACACACCCCAUCUCGUCUGAGCUCAGAAGCUAAGCAGGGGCGGGCCUGGUUAGUACUUGGACGGGAGAAGUCUAAGAAGUGCCAUGGGUACAGCAGCAA
rnacentral:rRNA from 1 species